rnacentral:rRNA from 1 species
UACGUAGGGUGCGAGCGUUUGUCCGGAAUUAUUGGGCGUAAAGGGCUCGUAGGCGGUUUGUCGCGUCGGGAGUGAAAACGCCGUGCUUAACACGGCGCUUGCUUUCGAUACGGGCAGACUAGAGGUAUGCAGGGGAGAACGGAAUUCCUGGUGUAGCGGUGAAAUGCGUAGAUAUCUGGAGGAACACCGGUGGCGAAGGCGGCAUCCUGGACCAACACUGACGCUGAGGAGCGAAAGCGUGGGGAGCGAACAGG